CGACCUGUUCAGCAUUAACAUGGAUACCUGGGAAUGGACUGAAAUGUAGGUCUAGAAUACUGGAGGAUGUUAUUCAUUGAUUUAUUGCAGGGAUGGAAAUAGACUGUGGUUUCAUAGCGUUUGAUCGAUUCCUGGUUUUACUACUGUGAGUUUAAUAAGAUACCCGGAGCGUGUUACCUAUUCACACUGCAGCUGAUCAAGCUUGUAUUAAAACCUUGACUGGGUGAAACUGCUGUACAGUAGGAGUCUGAUUUCCAUCCCUGUAUUUGUGUGUGUUUUUAAACAGCUCUUUAAACAGGGACUGGCUCAGUAAUAGCUUGUUUACAUUGUACAUCAGCAAUGUGUUUAUUUGUGUGUACACAGAUACAGCCAAUCAGCACAGUGGUGUUGACUGUGUGUCUCUGUCUCUGUGGGUUUGACGGUCUGUGUGUCUCUCUUGCCCCUUUUAGUAUUGUACCACACCAGGGCCCCGUGGGGAGGUCGUGGCACUCCCUAAAGCCAGCGUCCCCCGAUCAUCUCUUCCUGUUUGGUGGCUUCACGACAGAUAAGCAGCCGCUGAGUGAUGGCUGGCUUUACUGCAUUAGCAGGAAUGAAUGGAAACCAUUUAAACACAACAAUGCAGAGAAGCCCAGGCUCUGGCACACUGCCUGCUCCAGCGAGGAAGGGGAAGUGUUUGUGUUCGGUGGAUGUGCGAACAAUCUGCUGUCUCAUCACCGCGCUGUAAGUCGACACCUUUCAGGAUAAAAGCCUCUUAAUUGAAUUCCAUUCCCCUGACACAGGAGAUCAAUACGAAGUGUCAGGCUUCGCUGUAUACUGAAGGGAGUCUGAAGCGGCUGUUGAGAUUGUUCAAGACUGCACUGUGCUGCUUGUUGGCACAAGACUGGUCAUUCUCAGCUAUCACAAGUUCAGGCAGUGUGUUUUUCAUACUGAUCCAAAUGAACAGAUGCAGAAGUGGAUGUUAUCAGUGUCUUGGCACCUGCAUCGCUGAAGGUUUAACUGCUGUGAUCUGCUACCAGUUGAUUUCGGAGAAUGAUGCAUCAUCGUUUUUAGAAACUCUUUUUGCUCAUAGUUACAGGAGUGUAGAUCUCUGUGUCUUAAUAAAGUUUGCUUUAUUUUGUUCCCGA